CUGAAGAGUUUGAUCAUGGCUCAGAUUGAACGCUGGCGGCAUGCCUAACACAUGCAAGUCGAACGAUGACGAAACAGCUUGCUGUUUCUGAUUAGUGGCGGACGGGUGAGUAAUGUAUAGGGAUCUGCCUGACAGUGGGGGACAACAGCCGGAAACGGCUGCUAAUACCGCAUACGCUCUACGGAGGAAAGUGGGGGACCUUUCGGGGCCUCACGCUGACAGAUGAACCUAUAUCAGAUUAGCUAGUUGGUGGGGUAAAGGCCUACCAAGGCGACGAUCUGUAGCGGGUCUGAGAGGAUGAUCCGCCACACUGGGACUGAGACACGGCCCAGACUCCUAC
rnacentral:rRNA from 13 species